rnacentral:tRNA from 1 species
GGCCCAGUGGCCUAAUGGAUAAGGCAUCAGCCUUCAGAGAUGAGGAUGUGGGUUCAAGUCCCAUCUGGGUCA